rnacentral:rRNA from 1 species
UGGGGAAUAUUGGACAAUGGGCGAAAGCCUGAUCCAGCCAUGCCGCGUGUGUGAAGAAGGUCUUCGGAUUGUAAAGCACUUUAAGGUGGGAGGAAGGGCAUUAACCUAAUACGUUAGUGUUUUGACGUUACCGACAGAAUAAGAACCGGCUAACUCUGUGCCAUCAGCCGCGGUAAUACAGAGGGUGCAAGCGUUAAUCGGAAUUACUGGGCGUAAAGCGCGCGUAGGUGGUUUGUUAAGUUGGAUGUGAAAGCCCCGGGCUCAACCUGGGAACUGCAUUCAAAACUGACUGACUAGAGUAUGGUAGAGGGUGGUGGAAUUUCCUGUGUAGCGGUGAAAUGCGUAGAUAUAGGAAGGAACACCCGUGGCGAAGGCGACCACCUGGACUAAUACUGACACUGAGGUGCGAAAGCGUGGGGAGCAAACA